rnacentral:rRNA from 1 species
GACGAACGCUGGCGGCGUGCUUAACACAUGCAAGUCGAACGGGCCUGUCUUCUUUUUUGGGGGUGGGUUGAGUGGCGAACGGGUGAGUAUCACGUGAGUAACCUGCCCUUCGGUCCUGGAUAACCGCUUGAAAGGGCGGCUAAUACGGGGUGGUCCGGUUGGUCCGCAUGGGCUGGUCGGGAUAGAUUCACUGUUUUUGGUGUUUCGGCGGGGGAUGGGCGCGCGGCCUAUCAGCUUGUUGGUGGGGUGAUGGCCUACCAAGGCGGUGACGGGUAGCCGGGCUGAGAGGGUGGGCGGCCACACUGGGACUGAGAUACGGCCCAGACUCCUGCGGGAGGCAGCAGUGGGGGGUAGUGCACAAUGGGCGGAAGCCUGAUGCAGCGACGUCGCGUGAGGGAUGGAGGCCUUCGGGUUGUGAACCUCUGUUUCCGGUGGUGAAGGCCCUGUCCGUGUGGUGGGGUUGACGGUAGCCGGGGAUGAAGCGCCGGCUAACUACGUG